rnacentral:rRNA from 1 species
GACGAACGCUGGCGGCGUGCUUAACACAUGCAAGUCGAGCGGUAAGGCCCUUUCGGGGGUACACGAGCGGCGAACGGGUGAGUAACACGUGGGUGACCUGCCCUCAGCUCUGGGAUAAGCCUGGGAAACCGGGUCUAAUACUGGAUAUGACUCCAUGACGCAUGUUGUGGGGUGGAAAGCCUUGUGCGGCUGAGGAUGGGCCCGCGGCCUAUCAGCUUGUUGGUGGGGUGAGGCCUACCAAGGCGACGACGGGUAGCCGGCCUGAGAGGGCGACCGGCCACACUGGGACUGAGACACGGCCCAGACUCCUACGGGAGGCAGCAGUGGGGAAUCUUGCGCAAUGGGCGAAAGCCUGACGCAGCGACGCCGCGUGGGGAUGAAGCUUCUCGGAGUGUAAACCCCUUUCGACCCGGACGAAUAGCCCGCAAGGGACUUGACGGUACGGGUAGAAGAAGCCCGGCUAACUACGUGCCAGCAGCCGCAGU